UACAGAGGGGGCAAGCGUUGUUCGGAAUUAUUGGGCGUAAAGCGCGUGUAGGCGGUUUGGUAAGUUAGACGUGAAAGCCCUCGGCUUAACCGAGGAAGUGCAUCUAAUACUGCCUUACUUGAGUGUCGGAGGGGAUGGCGGAAUUCCCGGUGUAGAGGUGAAAUUCGUAGAUAUCGGGAGGAACACCUGUGGCGAAGGCGGCCAUCUGGACUGCACCUGACGCUGACACGCGAAAGCUAGGGGAGCGAACGGG
rnacentral:rRNA from 1 species